rnacentral:misc_RNA from 1 species
GACGACGCAUGAGUAGCAAUCAGGAUAGGUUCCCUUUGCAGGCUCCGUGCUUCUCGCAUCGAACUGCUUUGUUCUAUCCGUUUCAUUUGAUCGCUCGCCUCGUUGCCCCGAGGGUCGGUUGCGAGUGAAGGGUGGGUUCCUGUGCUCGAUACCGUAUUGCGGUACUCGGAUUCAAUGUUGUCCACGUCUGGGUUCCCUUGUUCCUCCUCUGCCUCMUGGGCAUUGGUGGAUAUCGUGCGGGCAUCGACGCUUUCCGUCCGGACGGUCGUCCACCUCUGGGCGUUUCCUCUCGUGUCGGCGCGUCGAUGCCGUCCGCGUGCUCUUGGGUACGGAGAUAUCUCUUGUUAUCGCGCGGUCCCUUUGUUGGCCGUCGCGAUSUCGACGUGUCGAAGCUCCUUUGCUUCCGCUCGGGCGACCCUCGUGCU